GGGGAAUAUUGCACAAUGGGCGAAAGCCUGAUGCAGCCAUGCCGCGUGUAUGAAGAAGGCCUUCGGGUUGUAAAGUACUUUCAGCGGGGAGGAAGGCGAUAAGGUUAAUAACCUUGUCGAUUGACGUUACCCGCAGAAGAAGCACCGGCUAACUCCGUGCCAGCAGCCGCGGUAAUACGGAGGGUGCAAGCGUUAAUCGGAAUUACUGGGCGUAAAGCGCACGCAGGCGGUCUGUCAAGUCGGAUGUGAAAUCCCCGGGCUCAACCUGGGAACUGCAUUCGAAACUGGCAGGCUGGAGUCUUGUAGAGGGGGGUAGAAUUCCAGGUGUAGCGGUGAAAUGCGUAGAGAUCUGGAGGAAUACCGGUGGCGAAGGCGGCCCCCUGGACAAAGACUGACGCUCAGGUGCGAAAGCGUGGGGAGCAAAC
rnacentral:rRNA from 1 species